rnacentral:rRNA from 1 species
AGUGAACGCUGGCGGUAGGCCUAACACAUGCAAGUCGAACGGCAGCACAGUAAGAGCUUGCUCUUACGGGUGGCGAGUGGCGGACGGGUGAGGAAUACAUCGGAAUCUACUUUUUCGUGGGGGAUAACGUAGGGAAACUUACGCUAAUACCGCAUACGACCUACGGGUGAAAGCAGGGGAUCUUCGGACCUUGCGCGAUUGAAUGAGCCGAUGUCGGAUUAGCUAGUUGGCGGGGUAAAGGCCCACCAAGGCGACGAUCCGUAGCUGGUCUGAGAGGAUGAUCGGCCACACUGGAACUGAGACACGGUCCAUACUCCUACGGGAGGGAGCAGUGGGGAAUAUUGGACAAUGGGCGCAAGCCUGAUCCAGCCAUACCGCGUGGGUGAAGAAGGCCUUCGGGUUGUAAAGCCCUUUUGUUGGGAAAGAAAAGCAGCAGGUUAAUACCCCGCUGUUCUGACGGUACCCAAAGAAUAAGCACCGGCUAACUUCGUG